UUAAGCCUAUUCACGGAGAACGAGGCUUUCAAUGGCUACCAGCCAUGACAGCUAUGCUCAUCCUUCAUGGUUGAAGACAGUAUCUAAGGUCAGAGACAGAUCACUGACUUAAACGCACCCUGGAGUUUGUAGACUGAACGUUGCUGGUCUGUUUCCAGGCUCGUUCCAUUACAAAAUUAUACACAUUGGGCAGGAGUCUAAACAUCAUUCUGCGGGGGAUGAGCUAACAACAGCAAAGAAGAUGAAAACAUUAAUUUAGAGCAAUUUGAGUUGUGCUCAGAGCCCUCCUUUGGAUGGUGUGUUAUUAUUCAAGGCUGUAUAUAUUUGUCUGUCAUUCCUAAGUCAGCAAGCAAUUUGGCUGGAACAGAUGUAACCCGCUUCUCUUCAAUCACUAGAUCCUUCUGGUUAUUCCACCAACAUGGCUCGCUACAGACUCAGUGUCACGCAUUCCUCCCAGCUUCGCAACUCAGAUGUUAUGUUAACACCGCCAUCCAUCCAUGUGGUUGUUCCGGUAAUUCCGAAUGCCUCCAAAGAGAUAGCCACUGCUAAACAUCAACCCUGCUAUGGUUCCCUGUGUGACAUAAGUUCUUGGCCACGCAGAGCUGUUCAUUCCUCCUUACCGACUUCUGAGUCUUUUAAGGGAAGAAAAGCCACUCAUGGAAAAUCUUACACUCUUCGAAGGAAGCCACCUCUCCUCUCGUACAGGUAUAUAAGAGUCUAACUGGGCAGGAACAUCCAGUGAAAACAAGCUAUAAAGGACAAUCUUUCUAAAGUCUUAUUUCCCACUCCCCACCAGAAAUGCUAACCAUGCAUAAUUCCAAUUGAAAGUGUGCUACUUAAAAUAAUCUGGCCUGGCCUUAUACCGAGGUCCAUCAAGCUUGGUUUUGUUUAUGUUUAUCACCUGUGGCUCUCCAGGGGUUUUCAGACAGGGUACAAAUCGCAGCCUUGCCUGGAGGUACCAGAAAUUGAACACGGAACCUUCUGCAAGCUACAAAUAUGUUCUACCACUGAGCCAUAGUCCUCACUGGGAACCACAAGGUUAGUGGGAGAAGAAAAAGGAUAUCUGUACAGAGGUGUAGCCACAGAGAAACCUAUCCACCACCACCCCAUGGAUAUUCCAGACUCCUUGUUUAGAUUUUAAAGUUUCUGGGCUUUUUACACAUGUGAAGAUAUACAAUGAAGCAUGCAAGAAUGAUGGAUUGCUUCAAGUGCUCCUUUGUGUCCCUUGUGCUGAAUGUUAGAUGGGAAAGUCCUUGGGAUGGAGACCCUACCUUCUUGUCCUUUGAAAAGGGCUGUGCACAUCACUAGCAGAAGUAAAUAAAUGCAUCAGCUGAUUCAAAAUAAAUGAGAAUAACAAAGAAACAGACUC